rnacentral:misc_RNA from 1 species
GAAAUGCGAUAAGUAAUGUGAAUUGCAGAAUUCAGUGAAUCAUCGAAUCUUUGAACGCACCUUGCGCUCCUUGGUAUUCCUUGGAGCAUGCCUGUUUGAGUAUCAUGAAAUCUUCAAAGUAAAUCUUUUGUUAACUCAAUUGGUUUCUACUUUGGUAUUGGAGGUCUUUGCAGCUUCACACCUGCUCCUCUUUGUUGAUUAGCUGGAUCUCAGUGUUAUGCUUGGUUCCACUCGGCGUGAUAAGUUAUCUAUCGCUGAGGACACUGUAAAAGGUGGCCAAGGUAAAUGCAGAUGAACCGCUUCUAAUAGUCCAUUGACUUGGACAAUACUUUUAUGAUCUGAUCUCAAAUCAGGUAGGACUACCCGCUGAACUUAAGC